rnacentral:misc_RNA from 1 species
GUUGAAUCUUCAACAAUGGCAGAGCAGGAUACUAAGCCUUUGAGAGAUUAUGGUGCACCCAACAUUCAAGGAUUGCAAUUAAAUGAGACACGACCUAUAGUGACUGUUAACAACUUUGAGCUGAAACCAACAUGGCUUCAGAUAAUUCAACAAAGCCAAUUUGGGGAUUCUCCAUUUUUUAUCCACAUUUCCACCUCCAAUGUUUCCUUGCUUUAUGUGAUACAUUAAAGAUUAAUGGAGUUUCUCAAGAUGCUAUUCGCCUGAAAACGUUUCCAUUCUCUUAG